rnacentral:rRNA from 1 species
UUUGCAGCUCAACUGUAAAAGUGCUUCGAUACUGGCUUCUUGAGUGUGGAUGAAGUAGGCGGAAUUGUGGUGUAGCGGUGAAAUGCUUAGAUAUCACGAGGAACUCCGAUUGCGCAGGCAGCUUACUAAACCACUACUGACGCUCAUGCACGAAGGCGUGGGGAUCAAACAGGAUUAGAUACCCUGGUAGUCCACGCAGUAAACGAUGAUUACUAGUUGUUUGCGAUACAAUGUAAGCGACUGAGCGAAAGCGUUAAGUAAUCCACCUGGGGAGUACGUUCGCAAGAAUGAAACUCAAAGGAAUUGACGGGGGCCCGCACAAGCGGAGGAACAUGUGGUUUAAUUCGAUGAUACGCGAGGAACCUUACCCGGGCUUGAAAUGCGGCGGACCGGCAGAGAGAUCUGCCUUCCCUUCGGGGCCGCCGUGUAGGUGCUGCAUGGUUGUCGUCAGCUCGUGCCGUGAGGUGUCGGCUUAAGUGCCAUAACGAGCGCAACCCUCAUCAUUAGUUACUAACAGGUCAUGCUGAGGACUCUAGUGAGACUGCCAUCGUAAGAUGCGAGGAAGGUGGGGAUGACGUCAAAUCAGCACGGCCCUUACGUCCGGGGCGACACACGUGUUACAAUGGGUGGUACAAAGGGCAGCUACCUGGCGACAGGAUGCUAAUCUCCAAAACCACUCUCAGUUCGGAUCGGAGUCUGCAACUCGACUCCGUGAAGCUGGAUUCGCUAGUAAUCGCGCAUCAGCCACGGCGCGGUGAAUACGUUCCCGGGCCUUGUACACACCGCCCGU